rnacentral:piRNA from 1 species
UCAAUCUGAUAUACCGGUCUUCCUGGAC